GAGGGAAAAUUUAACUUUACUAUAAAUAUGCAUGUAAAUGGUCACGUAUUCAACGAACAACACAAAAAGCAGCUUCACUAUUUCCAUUGCCGUUUAUCCUUUGCCCUAUUUCCCCAUGGAUUCCGGCGGCCGCGGCGGCGCCAAUAAUCCCAGGUACCAUCGGAAACAACCGUAUUCCGAUCGUAUCCUUGGCGUUUUAUCGACCGUUAACUCACUAUCUCAACUGUCUACAUCCACUUCUGCCGCCGGAGAUGAGCUCACCGAGCACGAUAUCUUUGACGUGUCUUCCAACGUCGUUCUUAAAUCUACUGUUUCAACUUCAAUAAGCCCGAAGGCUAAUCUCCAUCGGUCACCUAACCAUCGUAAUUCCAAUCACAAGCAUUACGGUUUCGGUAUCCUAGCUGCACUCCCGGAGUCUGAGUCCCACGCGCAGGCUGCAUUGCUCUCCGUUUCAUCAUCCUCGUCGUCUUCCUCCACGUCAUCGGCUCGUUUGAUUCCUACAAUUCCGAAACGGCUACCUGUGGAUCGGGUUAGGUAUCUCCAGUCCGCACCGGUGAAUGUUCCUGUAAUGUCGGCAGCAGCAGCAGCGAAAAGAAUAAGCCUGCAUUUUGACGAUGUUGAUGAUAACGAGGAGGACGGUGGUGGUGAGAUGUUACCUCCGCAUGAAUUUGUUGCGUCGAAGCAGACAGCGAUUAUGGUGUCCUCUGUGUUUGAGGGAGCUGGGAGGAAGUUGAAAGGAAGAGAUUUGAGGCAAGUUCGAGAUUCUAUUUGGCAGAAGACAGUAAAAGAAGAAAAGAAGAGAACAUCUUGAGUCGAUUGAGCUAUUCCCCUUUCUUCUUCAACCCCUUGGAGGAAGUACCAGCCCGAAGUCCAAGAUUGUAUUAGCACAGAGGGCGUAAGAGCUAGUUUGACUGCUCUAGACGCUGGAUAUGAGCUGGUAAGACAUGGGAGUGAAAAGAAAAUGACCAUGGAGUUAGCUUUUCAUGCUUAUCAAUAAGUGAGAUCGAAUUUUUUUUUAAUCUCAAGGUGGUAGGCUGAUGUUAGGAUAUUAUUAUUUUGGGUUGUUAGCUUCUUGUUAAUUUGGCUAAGGGUUUUCUGACCCGGAAAUAUGUUUUAGUUUCUUACAUUUUCUGCAAUUUCUCUGUAAUUUUUGUAAUUUAUACAAAUAUUAAAGUUAAAUAGUCAUGUUGCUUGCUUCAUGUAAAAUAAAACGCUGUGCUAUGCACUUGCCUCGUGCCCCACUACCUUUCACUUGGGUUGAAAAGUGAAAGUACCAUGUGGAAGUGAAAAUUGAACUUUCAAAUGCUAAAACAUAUCAAGAUGGUCUGGUUAAAGUUUAAUCUGCACGAUUGUCUGUAAACAGACUGCCGCUUAAUUUGAUGGAUUGUAUUAGUGGUGAAAUUGAAACUUUCCUCUUCAUAUGAACAAAAAGAUGGUUGAAAGGAGCAGAAAGAAACAUGACAGUAAAUGCUUAAAUAUGUUUCCUUAGUUUGGGGUUUCCUUCAAUGGCUAUCCUUUUUAAAUGUCUGGUAUGAUAUAUGUGAUAUGUCGUCUUCCUGAAAUAAGAUCCAAAGUGUACUGAUUUCUAACAUAUACUUGCAAUGAUAGAUUUUGUGAACGAUAAUUUUAAAGUGUUGAUUUCAUUUAUGAGCUGAUCGAUAUCUAAAUGAUGUGAGGCAGUUCAGAUAAACGUCCUUGUACAGAAAUAUUAUAGCUUCGGAGUAAAUGCCAUGAUAAUAUGGUUCUUCAAGAUUUCAUUGUCGAUUGUACGUAUCUGCAGAGGUGAAAUAAAGUUCUUUGUAAGUUGUAACUCUCCAUUAAUUCAAGAUGUCAGACCAACCACCUUUGUAGUUGGGAGGAGUUUGGUACCUGCUGUUAUCAUCCCAGAUUUUUCAAUCUUUACCCAAAACAUACUAGUUUCAUUUAGACACUCCACCCAGAAGUCACACACAGGUUUUUCCUAGUGGAACGAAAAUUUCUAAU